GCCUCGAGCCCCACCCCGAGCCACUAUCACACUCCGUCGCGCCUUCCGCCUCACCCUGUGCGCUCCCGUCGAGCCGGCGGCGCGGUGCCCUCCCCUGUUUGCCUCGCCUUCGCUUCGUCGGCGAGGGCGCGCGCACCUUCGCUACACACCACCGGCGCCACUGCUCAGCUCUGCCGGUACCGCCAUCGCUUUCCCCUCACCCAGCACGCACGCUAGCUGCUAUUUACACUGAGAUGGAUACCGAGGUUUUGGUGAAAGAGGUACCGAAAGGUGGAGGGGGGAAGGGGGAGGAGGGGAGCAAAGACGAAGCUGCCGUUCGUGCUGAGAUGAUUCCCGAGGUCUUGUUGAAAGAGGAAGUAACUAAGGGGGAGGACCAGAGCAACGGCGAGGCUUCCGUUGAUGCUGAGAUGAAUUCUGAAGUCUCGGCGGAAGUGGAAACGGAGAAUGGAGCAAGCAAGGGGAAGGAGGAGAGCGAGGCCGAGGAGGAAGAUGGGGAAUCAGGGGAGGCUUCUUCCAGUAGUGAGGAGGAGGAUGAGGAGGAGGAUGAGGAGGAGGAUGAGUCAAGUGAGGCGUCCUCGAGCAGUGAUGAGGAAGAGCAGAGGGUCAAUUCCGGUGUCGGUGACAUGGCGACCCUCAUUGAGGAGGGGGAAUUGAUGGUUGGAAUCAGUGAUGAUGAUGAUGACGAGGAGGAAGCAUCGAAGGGUCAUAUCGACUCCAAACAUGAAGCAGAGACCCUUCCUCCAGUGCCGAAGAUUGAAGUCCAGCUGGAACCACAUCAUAAGGCACUCCCAGUGGGAACAAUUUCAUCUAUCAUGGGUGAGAGAGUGAUUGUUGAAGGGUCAGUGCAACACAAUCCCCUGAAUGAGGGUUCUAUACUCUGGAUAACUGAAAGCAGGACACCACUUGGUAUUGUUGAGGAAUUAUUUGGACCAGUAAAAAACCCGUACUAUCUCGUGCGGUAUAACUCAGUGGAAGAAGUCCCUUCUGGAAUCAGUGCUGGAACUGCCGUCUCUUUUGUUAUGGAAUUUGCAAAUCAUAUCUUAAAUGUGAAGGAGCUGUACACCAAAGGCUAUGAUGGAUCAGGAGAUAAUAUUGAGGACCAAACAGAUGAUCCUGAAUUCUCUGAUGACGAGAAGGAGGCUGAGUACAAAAAAUCAUUACGGCUGGCAAAAGGGCAGACUGAUAGGCAACUUGACUCUAAGAAGCGUUCUGGUGAUAAGAAGAGGAAGCGGCCCAGGGAUGCUGGAUUCCAUAAGGGUAUACCUAGGAUCCACGAUGUAGCAACACCAGCUCACCAAUCAACACAUCGUAUUUAUCGCUCAGAUAUGGCUCCUGUUGCUGAUAACUCAGCAUGUUCACGUACGAGUUUACCAAUAAUGACGCCACCAGUCCCAGUGAAUCCUUCUAUGGCAUCAGCCAUUCAGUUUGCAGACCAGAAAGGUGCCUGCUUCCCUAACCCAUCACAGCAGUUCUUACCACAGCAGCCAAAUGUGGUUUGGCCUGGUGGGUUUCCACCUUCUAUGUACACGAACAUGGGAAUUAAUGGAGCUGCUCUUGCAGCUAAUAUUAUGCAAAACAUACUCAGUGGAUCCAAUCAAUACCAGCAACAUUACCAAAAUCAGAAUUUUGGUGGAUUCCUCAAUGGAAUGCCCAUGACCCCAACACAGUUGAUCCCGCAGAGCGGAAUGCCUGUAAAUCCAAUGCCUUUUGGUGGACCACAAUUAAAUCCUUCAUUUGGUCCAAUAUCUGAACUGGGGAUGGGGCAGGGGAACUUUGGUAAUAAUGGGUACCUGGGUGGGGACCAAGGGUUGCCACACCCUGGGUUGCCUAAUACUCAGGGAUAUGGGCGCCUACCAUCAUCGCAAUUCAAUUCUGGGCAGGGUGGUCAGGGUCCUAUGCAAUUCAAUUCUGGGCAGUUUAAUCAGGGGAGCUCGUCCUUCUCUGGAAGAAUGCCACAACAACAGGGAGGCCAGCACUCACAGGGGAGGGGUAGUGGCGGGCAUCACAAAUAGGACAACUGGCAUUCGUGUAUUUUUCUUCUUUGCAGGAAGAGUUAUAUUUGAGAGCAAUGUCUCUUAAAUGCUUGCAGUUACAAAACAAAUCAGGAAGCCUUUCCAGAUAAAUGGAUCAGGAAGCUGAUGGUGGUAUUUUGCCGAGCUUCACAUUUUGGGAAGAUCUGUAGAGGUUUAGAUUGGGGAGUUAAGCUGAUAAACUUACUGUAUUUUUGUUUUCGGAGACGGGGAGCUAACCAAUACAGACAAAAAACCUAUAAUCUAAAACCGUUUUUCCAACUAGAAGGUUUGUGUUGUUGAACCUCAGGAGAAAAUAAUAGGAUAUCUAGCACA